AGAGUUUGAUCCUGGCUCAGAUUGAACGCUGGCGGCAUGCUUUACACAUGCAAGUCGAACGGCAGCGCGGGGCAACCUGGCGGCGAGUGGCGAACGGGUGAGUAAUAUAUCGGAACGUACCCAAGAGUGGGGGAUAACGUAGCGAAAGUUACGCUAAUACCGCAUACGAUCUAAGGAUGAAAGCAGGGGAUCUUCGGACCUUGUGCUCCUGGAGCGGCCGAUAUCUGAUUAGCUAGUUGGUGAGGUAAAGGCUCACCAAGGCCACGAUCAGUAGCUGGUCUGAGAGGACGACCAGCCACACUGGAACUGAGACACGGUCCAGACUCCUACGGGAGGCAGCAGUGGGGAAUUUUGGACAAUGGGCGAAAGCCUGAUCCAGCAAUGCCGCGUGAGUGAAGAAGGCCUUCGGGUUGUAAAGCUCUUUUGUCAGGGAAGAAACGGUGAGGGCUAAUAUCCUUCGCUAAUGACGGUACCUGAAGAAUAAGCACCGGCUAACUACGUGCCAGCAGCCGCGGUAAU
rnacentral:rRNA from 1 species